UACGGAGGGUGCAAGCGUUACCCGGAAUCACUGGGCGUAAAGGGCGUGUAGGCGGGAUGUUAAGUCUGACUUUAAAGACUGUGGCUCAACCACAGGAGUGGGCUGGAUACUGGCAUUCUAGACGACUGGAGAGGCGAUUGGAAUUACUGGUGUAGCGGUGGAAUGCGUAGAUACCAGUAGGAACGUCAAUGGCGAAGGCAGGUCGCUGGACAGUUUGUGACGCUGAGGCGCGAAAGUGUGGGGAGCAAACCGGAUUAGAAACCCCCGUAGUCC
rnacentral:rRNA from 1 species